rnacentral:rRNA from 1 species
AGGGAGGCAGCAGUAGGGAAUAUUGCACAAUGGGGGAAACCCUGAUGCAGCGACGCCGCGUGAGUGAUGAAGUAUUUCGGUACGUAAAGCUCUAUCAGCAGGGAAGAUAAUGACGGUACCUGACUAAGAAGCCCCGGCUAACUACGUGCCAGCAGCCGCGGUAAUACGUAGGGGGCAAGCGUUAUCCGGAUUUACUGGGUGUAAAGGGAGUAUAGGUGGUCUGGCAAGUCAGAUGUGAAAGCCCGCGGCUCAACCGCGGGACUGCAUUUGAAACUGUCAGACUGGAGUGCAGGAGAGGAAAGUGGAAUUCCUAGUGUAGCGGUGAAAUGCGUAGAUAUUAGGAAGAACACCAGUGGCGAAGGCGGCUUUCUGGACUGUAACUGACACUGAGGCUCGAAAGCGUGGGGAGCAAACAGGAUUAGAUACCCUGGUA